UGUCCCGUUGUGUAAUGGUAGCACAGAAGAUUUUGGUUCUUUUAGUCUGGGUUCGAAUCCUUGCGGGACAA
rnacentral:tRNA from 1 species